rnacentral:rRNA from 1 species
UACGUAGGUCCUGAGCGUUGUCCGGAUUUAUUGGGCGUAAAGCGAGCGCAGGUGGUUUAUUAAGUCUGGUGUAAAAGGCAGUGGUUCAACCAUUGUAUGCAUUGGAAACUGGUAGACUUGAGUGCAGGAGAGGAGAGUGGAAUUCCAUGUGUAGCGGUGAAAUGCGUAGAUAUAUGGAGGAACACCGGUGGCGAAAGCGGCUCUCUGGCCUGUAACUGACACUGAGGCUCGAAAGCGUGGGGAGCAAACAGG